rnacentral:tRNA from 1 species
GGUAGCGGCACAGUGCCAUAUUUGAGCCUUUUAAGCAGGGUGUCCGGAGUUCGAAUCUCCGGUGGAUCACCA